CGAUGAAUCUUCUAGCUUGCUAGAAGUGGAUUAGUGGCGCACGGGUGAGUAAUGCAUAGGUUAUGUGCCCUUUAGUCUGGGAUAGCCACUGGAAACGGUGAUUAAUACUGGAUACUCCCUACGGGGGAAAGUUUUUCGCUAAAGGAUCAGCCUAUGUCCUAUCAGCUUGUUGGUGAGGUAAUGGCUCACUAAGGCUAUGACGGGUAUCCGGCCUGAGAGGGUGAUCGGACACACUGGAACUGAGACACGGUCCAGACUCCUACGGGAGGCAGCAGUAGGGAAUAUUGCUCAAUGGGGGAAACCCUGAAGCAGCAACGCCGCGUGGAGGAUGAAGGUUUUAGGAUUGUAAACUCCUUUUGUUAGAGAAGAUUAUGACGGUAUCUAACGAAUAAGCACCGGCUAACUCCGUGCCAGCAGCCGCGGUAAUACGGAGGGUGCAAGCGUUACUCGGAAUCACUGGGCGUAAAGAGUGCGUAGGCGGGGUAAUAAGUCAGAUGUGAAAUCCUGUAGCUUAACUACAGAACUGCAUUUGAAACUGUUACUCUGGAGUGUGGGAGAGGUAGGUGGAAUUCUUGGUGUAGGGGUAAAAUCCGUAGAGAUCAAGAGGAAUACUCAUUGCGAAGGCGACCUGCUGGAACAUUACUGACGCUGAUGCACGAAAGCGUGGGGAGCAAACAGGAUUAGAUACCCUGGUAGUCCACGCCCUAAACGAUGGAUGCUAGUUGUUGCCUUGCUUGUCAGGGCAGUAAUGCAGCUAACGCAUUAAGCAUCCCGCCUGGGGAGUACGGUCGCAAGAUUAAAACUCAAAGGAAUAGACGGGGACCCGCACAAGCGGUGGAGCAUGUGGUUUAAU
rnacentral:rRNA from 1 species